GAUGAACGCUGGCGGCGUGCCUAAUACAUGCAAGUCGAGCGGACCAAAGAGAGCUUGCUCUCUGAGGUUAGCGGCGGACGGGUGAGUAACACGUGGGUAACCUGCCUGUAAGACGGGGAUAACUUCGGGAAACCGAAGCUAAUACCGGAUGAUAAAGAGAAACGCCUGUUUCUUUUUUGAAAGUCGGCCUUGUGCUGACGCUUACAGAUGGGCCCGCGGCGCAUUAGCUAGUUGGUGAGGUAACGGCUCACCAAGGCGACGAUGUGUAGCCGACCUGAGAGGGUGAUCGGCCACACUGGGACUGAGACACGGCCCAGACUCCUACGGGAGGCAGCAGUAGGGAAUCUUCGGCAAUGGACGAAAGUCUGACCGAGCAACGCCGCGUGAGCGAUGAAGGCCUUCGGGUCGUAAAGCUCUGUUGUCAGAGAAGAACAAGUACCGGAGUAACUGCCGGUACCUUGACGGUACCUGACCAGAAAGCCACGGCUAACUACGUGCCAGCAGCCGCCGUAA
rnacentral:rRNA from 1 species